UGCCAGCCGCCGCGGUAAUACGGAGGGUGCAAGCGUUAAUCGGAAUUACUGGGCGUAAAGCGCGCGUAGGCGGAUUGUUAAGUCUCAUGUGAAAGCCCUGGGCUCAACCUGGGAACUGCAUGGGAUACUGGCAAUCUAGAAUACAGUAGAGGGUAGUGGAAUUUCCAGUGUAGCGGUGAGAUGCGUAGAGAUUGGAAGGAACAUCAGUGGCGAAGGCGGCCACCUGGACUGAUACUGACGCUGAGGUGCGAAAGUGUGGGGAGCAAACAGGAUUAGAUA
rnacentral:rRNA from 1 species